ACCUCUCUGUGGCGCGCGUGACUGCCAAUACUGUGUCUUGAUCGAUAAACUUGUUUUAGGAGUAGAUUGAUUCCAGACCCCGUAUACUGAAGGCUUUUUCCAAAACCUAUCAGGAACUUAAAGGUACUGGAUCGUAAGCUCCACCUGGGUAAACCGGGUCAAACAACUGAGGCGAGACGGCGUUGCGGAGGGGCU
rnacentral:other from 1 species